AGCGGUAUAGCUUAACAGGUUAGAGCAUCGGUCUUUGAAAUCGAUUGACUACGUUCGAGUCGUAGUGCCGCUGCCA
rnacentral:tRNA from 1 species